UCGGCAUAAUCCACCAAUGAUUUAAAUAUCGUUGUUAACAAAUAAGAAUAUACCCACCUUUUUGGUUUUUUUAUGAAAAAACCCUCUACCCACAAAAUGGAAACUAAGGAAUUAGUACCUUAGUUUUACACAAUAACUUGUGAUUACACCUAUGAUUAAACUGAUUUAACAAUGAUUUUUGCAAAUAAAAAGCUAGCACAUGAAUAUGGGUUGUAAGCUUUACAGAAUUUUUCAAAUUAGACGUUUUAAAUUUUGUACCAGGAUAUAUUUUUGUUCGUUACUAUAAUUAAACUGUAAUUUACAUGAAAAACAAGCAUUUUUGUAUUUCUAAAAUUGACUCGAGUUGAACAAUGACAGCUGAAAAGAUCCUAUACUCGAAGCACUGGUUUUUACGUUUGAUACAUAAAUACCUUGAUAUUUUUUUAACCAUUUUCUGCUUUCUAGUCAAGAACUUUGUUAGACUAUUAUACCUUUCCAGAAUUUCAGAAGUAAAGACCAGUCCGCAGAACCAUUUAAUUGGAUUGGAUGAAUACUAUACAUUAUGUUUUUCUCAGUGCAUGUCAUUAGACAACUUAUAAUCUCCAUUGUUAUCAUAGUUGUGUGAAUCUCAAUUUUAUCCACUGUUAAUUUAGCACCGGAGGUAAUAAGCACAAUAGUUUAUUGGGAAGAAUUGUGACCUGUGAUUCCUUUGAAUUGCUACUGAAUCAGCAGAAUAGCAGUUUUCCUGUGUCAUGCACUUUUUCUCUAUUUCUUAGUUUUUGGUAAGUUUUAAAUGAACUGUGGUUGAAAGGAUAAACUUUUACACCUAAUCAUACAGAUUCAAAAUAUAAGGACAAGAAACUCAAUUAUUAUAUUUUUGAAAUGGUCCCCUCCCUCUACAUCUCUCUCAUUGCAUGUGCUAUGGGUAUGAUAUGAUGAUCAAUGUAUUAUAUGUUAGGAAAUAGUGAUUUUCUGUUUUUUCUUUUGGAGGGGCUGGACCAUUGCCAUCGUAAUACUUUGCUUUAUGCUUUAUCGUUUUUUAUUUUCUCAUAUCCCAUAUCCAAUCAAUGAUAAAUGUAUGUUUGGUAAUUGUAGCACAAUUUUUAACUUUUAUUUUCAACCGAACAUUAUGGAAAUCCAGCAGUGUUUGAAUAUUCACAGGCCUGAUUAACAAUUUUAUCAUUGGCUGUCUUUUUAUAUUUUAAGCACACCCAUGAAAAUUAAUGGUAGCAAUAGAUAGCUUAUCCCUUGUUUUCAAAUAUUGUUUAUGCAUAUUAUAUAUUUUUGUUUUUAUAAUAAUAGGGCGGAGAACAUGGCUCGUAAAGCUGCUGGAGAAGAGCCCUUGCCGGAAGAAGAUCCUUCAAAUCCCGUUUUCAAGCCCCUCCCCGAGCCAUCACGGUUGGAGAGCUUCCUCAUAACAAAUCAAAUUUCCAACUACUGUAAUCAAAUCAAUGGGGUGUCAGGGCAGAGCUUUAACAGGCUGUAUUUGAUGAAGGCUUUGCAUGAAGAUUGAGAAGGCAAUUUUUGUCUGCCAUUCUUGUGGUUUAGUCCAAUUUCUUUUCCAUAUAGUACCAAGACUUUUCUGGUGAAUUUGGUAGUAUAUUAGAGGAUUAUGAUUUUAAGGCGACGCAAUUUUUGUUUAUUUUUUAACCCAUCCAUUAUAUAUGCCUGUAUAAUCUGUUCUUUGGAGAUACAUGCUGAGCCACGUGUUAUUUGAGUUAUGCCACAAAAUUGAGCAUCCAGUUGUAUUUA